rnacentral:rRNA from 1 species
AUUGAACGCUGGCGGCGUGCUUAACACAUGCAAGUCGAGCGGUAAGGCCCUUUCGGGGGUACACGAGCGGCGAACGGGUGAGUAACACGUGGGUGACCUGCCCUCAGCUCUGGGACAAGCCUGGGAAACCGGGUCUAAUACUGGAUAUGACUCCAUGACGCAUGUUGUGGGGUGGAAAGCCUUGUGCGGCUGAGGAUGGGCCCGCGGCCUAUCAGCUUGUGGUGGGGGAUGGCCUACCAAGGCGACGACGGGUAGCCGGCCUGAGAGGGCGACCGGCCACACUGGGACUGAGACACGGCCAGACUCCUACGGGAGGCAGCAGUGGGGAAUCUUGCGCAAUGGGCGAAAGCCUGACGCAGCGACGCCGCGUGAGGGAUGACGGCCUGGU